GGGAUUUCGGGGUCCCUGGAGCUGCAGAACCGACUCUGCCCUGGGCCGGGAGCUGCUCUCUCAGCAAACACCCCCUGGGGAGAGGACUUCUGGCAGCCAGGCCCUGUGUAGGACAAACAUUGGUGGAUGAGGCAACACCACCCUCCUUGUGGUGGCACCAAGGCCUCUGCCCUGCCCCCUGACUUCCCUGGAGCCCCUCAUCACUCCGUGGACACAGGCGGCAUGGACUGAGGGUGCUCUGCAACAGGGCCCCUAGGUUUGCUGCACCAGCAUCCUCAGCAGGUUCCUCUCACCUGCCUCCAGCUCAGAUCCCCAGGAUCACACGGUUGGUCCUGAGGAGACUCCCACCAAGAACCUGGGUAGCACCAGACAACCAUGCUGCCCCAAUGGUUGGCCGGACAUGGAGACACUAACUGGGUCUUAAGGUGCUUAGGACAAGAACAAGAGAAGAUUACAUCUCAACACCGCACAGGGAAGGAUUGAAGCAAUCUCUUACACCCCGGUGAAGCAGAAAGAAGAACAUUAAAAAGGAAAGUAAAACUGCACAUGGCUCAAAACUUCAAAGAGUUCUGAACAUUUUCAAAUAAAAAGUGAAAGCCUUUCUCUUGUUUUCUAGGCUUGUUCAUCACUUCUUAGAUGUCCUU
rnacentral:lncRNA from 1 species